rnacentral:rRNA from 1 species
CCUACGGGUGGCAGCAGUGGGGAAUUUUGCGCAAUGGGGGAAACCCUGACGCAGCAACGCCGCGUGCGGGACGAAGGCCCUCGGUCUGUAAACCGCUUUCAGCAGGGAAGACAUCGACGGUACCUGCAGAAGAAGCCCCGGCUAACUACGUGCCAGCAGCCGCGGUAAUACGUAGGGGGCGAGCGUUAUCCGGAUUCAUUGGGCGUAAAGCGCGCGUAGGCGGCCGGCUAAGCGGAACCUCUAACCCCGGGGCUAAACCUUGGGCCGGGUUUCGGACUGGGCAGCUCGAGUGCGGGAGAGGAGAGCGGAAUUCCCGGUGUAGCGGUGGAAUGCGCAGAUAUCGGGAAGAACACCGAUGGCGAAGGCAGCUCUCUGGGCCGUCACUGACGCUGAGGCGCGAAAGCUGGGGGAGCGAACAGGAUUAGAUACCCCUGUAGUC